AAUGAAAGGUGAUGUCUGGGGCUCAGGUGUGUUGAGGUCCCCAUGCCUGGACUAUGGGUGCUGAGUGGGAUUUACUUGUCCAUCCAUUUUCUAUAUUCCAGCACUGGGAAACUAGGGACAGUACUUGUUCUCAAGGGAAUCUUCAGCUUAGGUGGCUCUGUAAA